AUUGAACGCUGGCGGCAUGCCUUACACAUGCAAGUCGAACGGCAGCAUAGGAGCUUGCUCCUGAUGGCGAGUGGCGAACGGGUGAGUAAUAUAUCGGAACGUGCCCUAGAGUGGGGGAUAGCUAGUCGAAAGACUAGCUAAUACCGCAUACGAUCUACGGAUGAAAGUGGGGGAUCGCAAGACCUCAUGCUCCUGGAGCGGCCGAUAUCUGAUUAGCUAGUUGGUGGGGUAAAAGCCUACCAAGGCAACGAUCAGUAGCUGGGCUGAGAGGACGACCAGCCUCACUGGAACUGGGACACGGCCCAGACUCCUACGGGAGGCAGCAGUGGGGAAGUUUGGACAAGGGGGGCAACCCUGAUCCAGCAAUGCCGCGUGAGUGAAGAAGGCCUUCGGGUUGUAAAGCUCUUUUGUCAGGGAAGAAACGGUAGUAGCGAAUAACUACUACUAAUGACGGUACCUGAAGAAUAAGCACCGGCUAACUACGUGCCAGCCGCCGCGGUAA
rnacentral:rRNA from 1 species